rnacentral:rRNA from 1 species
UGCGUAGGCGGAAAAUUAAGUCAGUGAUGAAAUCCUGCAGCUUAACUGUAGAACUGUUAUUGAUACUGAUUUUCUUGAAUAUAGUUGAGGUAGGCGGAAUGUGUAAUGUAGCGGUGAAAUGCUUAGAUAUUACACAGAACACCGAUUGCGAAGGCAGCUUACUAAGCUAUUAUUGACGCUGAGGCACGAAAGCGUGGGGAGCGAACAGGAUUAGAUGCCCUGGUAGUCC